AGUGAACGCUGGCGGUAGGCCUAACACAUGCAAGUCGAACGGCAGCACAGUUUUAGCUUUAUCUUACUGGUGACGAGUUGCGUACGGGUUAGGUAUCCUUCGGUAUCUACUUUUUUGUGGUCGGUAACGUAGGGCAACUUCCGCUUAUACCUCCUACGACCUACGGGUGAAAGCAGGAGAUCUUCGGACCUUGCGCGGUUUCAUGAGCCAUUGUCUUAUUAGUUAGUUGGCGGGGUAAAGGCCCACCAAGGCGUAGCUCCGUAGCUGGUGUGAGAGGAGGAACAGACACACUGGAGGUGAGACACGGUACAGAGUCCUACGGGAGGCAGAAGUGGGGAAGAGAGGAAGAAGGGCGCAAGACUGAACCAGCCAUACCGCGUGGGUGAAGAAGGGCUGCGGGUUGUAAAGCGCUUUUGUUGGGAAAGAAAAGCAGCAGGAGAAGACAAGGCUGUUCUGACGGUACCCAAAGAAGAAGCACCGGCUAACUUCGUG
rnacentral:rRNA from 1 species